rnacentral:rRNA from 2 species
UUUAUGGAGAGUUUGAUCCUGGCUCAGGAUGAACGCUGGCGGCGUGCCUAAUACAUGCAAGUCGAGCGAACAGACGAGGAGCUU